rnacentral:rRNA from 1 species
AUGCCCAUUGAUGGCUCCUUGGUCUUGGUGGCGGUGGACUUGGUUCUGCAUUGGGGGGCAUUGGAGCCCUCUGGAGCCUCCUCUUGGUUGCGCAUGCGCUUCGAUCCCGUGUCAGGGCUGGGAUUCGAACGACGGACAUUGGAACCGGAGCCACCACCUAUGACACACAACACAAACAUGAGAAAAAUCGAGAAGGAUUAUUGCAAAGACGAGGGCCAAAACCAAAUGAAACAAGCAAACACGAGAUUUGGAAGGACAAAACAACAUAGUUUGCAAUUCUAUGGUAGUACCGGACCGGCUUACGGAUGUAAAAAAUUGAAGGAAAUAUGCCCUAGAGGCAAUAAUAAAGUUGUUAUUUAUAUUUCCUUAUAUCAUGAUAAAUAUUUAUUAUUCAUGCUAGAAUUGUAUUAA